rnacentral:tRNA from 1 species
GGAGAGAUGGCUCAGUGGUUAAGAGCACUGACUGCUCUUCCAGAAUCCUGAGUUCAAUUCCCAGCAACCACA